UGGGUUGUAGCUCAAUGGUAGAGCACUUGCCUUGCACGUGUGAGGCUCUGGGUUUGAUCCCUGGAACCAAA
rnacentral:tRNA from 1 species